AUUGAACGCUGGCGGCAUGCCUUACACAUGCAAGUCGAACGCGUGCAGCAAUGCACGAGUGGCGCACGGGUGAGUAACGCGUGGAUAUCUGCCUUUUGGUUCGGAAUAACCCCGGGAAACUGGGGCUAAUACCGGAUGGUUCCUGCGGGAUAAAGAUUUAUCGCCAAAAGAUGAGUCCGCGUACGAUUAGCUAGUUGGUGAGGUAAUGGCUCACCAAGGCGACGAUCGUUAGCUGGUCUGAGAGGACGAUCAGCCACACUGGGACUGAGACACGGCCCAGACUCCUACGGGAGGCAGCAGUGGGGAAUAUUGGACAAUGGGGGCAACCCCUGAUCCAGCCAUGCCGCGUGAGUGAUGAAGGCCU
rnacentral:rRNA from 1 species